GCCCUGAACCAGGAUGCGAUACGCGACGGCGCCCCUCACCCUUCCCUGCGCCCAAGCACCGCCGGGGCAUCCCGGGGGCUCCCUCCCCACUUUUCCCCGGGCCGCUGGAUGAGCAGCAGAAGCAGCAGCAGCAGUUGCAGCAACAGGCCUGGGAUCGGCGGGAAGAGGAAGGAGCGCCCGGAGCCCAGGCUCCACAGAGCCCGCGCCCGCCCCGUCCUGGAGCCCGCGGCGCGCGGGGCCCGGCUCCCUAACGCCCCCUUACCCGAGGCGGGAGCGAGGCGGUCGGCGCCGUCCCCCGUCGCCACAGCCACUGCAGCUGGCCGCGCCGGGCGAGUGGGAGGGGUGGCGGAGUGGAGGAUGCUACUCCCCGACUGAAGGGAGAGGAAGAAACGGAAACAGGAACCGCGGCCGCUGCUUAACGGAGCCUUCGGCGCCACUGACUGAGGGAAAGCGCAAGGCGGCGCGAGCCAGGCAGAGGCUGACAGCGCGAGACCGAGCGCGAGCCGGGUCCAGGGCGCGCGACCCCGAGCAGCGCCGGCCCCAUUCCCUGAAAUUCCCGUCUUCAUUGAGUGCAAGCUCCAUAUACUUCAUACCAUUGAUUGAUUUGCUAUCCACUCCAGAAUCCCCCUCAUUAGUGCCUCAGGAAGCCUUACUUUGAAAGAAGGCUUUGCUAAGCUGCCCAUGUUAGCUUUGCCGAGCAGUCAGGAGGCAUACAUGACCACAUGCUGUGAGACUACUAUUGCUAAAGAUGAUAAUUGUAGUCAUCUCUCUUCAUCAAGGAAACUUCUCUUCGAAACAGAUGGAAACCACUACAGAACACCACAACCAAUCAAUAUGCAGGGUUAUGGAACCCAGUCCCAAUGCAUACAUCUGUAAAAACACUCCUGCACCCAAGGCUCAGGGAACAUUGCUGAAGAGGGGAUGGAAAGACUGUAAGAGCCAGAGCAUCAGGGAGUUUGCUAUGAGAUUAUGUCUUCUAGUAACAUCAGAAGCUACACCAAAUGUGAUCUGAACAAGGAUGACACCAAAUGGACAUGCCAAAACAAGGGAAAAGCCCAGGAGGCCUCAACCCUACACAAAGAACUAUAGGCAAUAGAGGAGAGCUGGGAACAAGACAGGUGGUCUUCCCCAGAGAAGAGCACACCAGUUGGUUGUCCUGUGCCAAAUGAACUGGAACUACAGGCAUGAACCACCAUGCUCAACCUUUUACACAGGGAAUACUUAGCUUGGCGUCACCGAGGUACGUCAGACAUUCAUAGGAACACAGGCUAUGUCUAAAAGUCAUUCUCUUAAGAUGGCUGCUGGAGAACGAGUGAUGACCAAAGGGAUCCAGACCAGGCUGGUGAAACCCACAGAAACAGCUGACCUGAACAAUGGGGAGCUUUUGGUAACCAGACUGAUAGCUGGGAAACCAGCAUGGGACUGAUCUAGACCCCAGGAACGUGGGUGUCAGUGAGGAGACCUCGGAAAUCUAUGGAGCCUCUUAUAGUAGAUCAGUACUUAUCCCUAGCAUAGGUGUGGACUUUGGGAGCCCAUUCCACAUAGAGAGAUACUCC
ensembl:lncRNA